GAUACGACUGUGGAUGGAAGGGGGAGGGGCAUGCAUUGCAUUUUAUUUUCAUUACGUUUUCUAAGAAACUAAAAGUCACGAAACAAGUUCAAAGCUUUCACGAGUCAAUAUUCUAAUUUAACCUAUCUAGCCUAUCCCAGCUGUCAUCGGGCAGGAAGGGGGGUACACCCUAAACUGGUUGCCAGCCAAUCGCAGGGCACAUGGAGACAGAGAACACUCGCACUCACAAUCACACCUAGGGGCAAUUUAGAGUGUCCAAUGUUGCAUGUUUUUGGAAUGUGGGAGGAAACCGGAGUGCCCGGAGAAAACCCACGCAGGCAAGGGAAGAAGAAAAGGCUCCAGCGCAGUUCCAAUUAAAUUGCUCAUUGUAAAGUAAUGUUUUGAGAACUUGCAAUUAUUUUGUUUCCAUCUUAUUCCAUGAGCAAAAAGGUGAAUUUAAGUCUGGAAUGUUUCCUGGGUUUAAAGUGACAUUGCCACUGCAGAUUCCACAUUUGUCGAGUUUUCUAGCACUGUUACACCCUCCAUAUCUCAGAAGUGUGAUUGAUAUUUCAAUGGUAACGUCAUCUAUUAAUUGUGAAGACAAGCAGAUUUUGUGCAUGUUUGUCUUAAUAAAUGAAACAACCAACCAAUGUAUUUUUUUUCCUACCCACUGUUUCAGUCUGUACUGAAGAAAGGAUUAAUACUACAAAUGGGAGUACUAAUGUCACUGAAAACAUCAGCGUCUUCUUUUAUUUUAAGACACUUCUCAUUGUACUGCAACGGAACUCCAUCUGCAGACGAUCGAUGGUUUCUUUCUGGAAACAGCGGCCCGGAACGUCAGUGUCCUUGUAGAAGCGGAUCCCAUUCCUCAAACCAACCUGAAAGGAGGGAGAUGUUGCCUUGAAGAACGGGUACUUAAAUGCGUCCCUGCAGGGCGUAACUGAGCACCACCACUGCGAUGAGCAAGCAACAGAGGAGUGCGGCCACAGCAUACCAGCCCAGCAAGAGAAACUUCCAGCGUGGAAAGCGGCUCGGGUCCAUAGAGUCCUGGCACGCCCGGC